rnacentral:rRNA from 1 species
UACGAAGGGGGGCUAGCGUUGCUCGGAAUCACUGGGCGUAAAGGGUGCGUAGGCGGGUUAUUAAGUCAGAGGUGAAAUCCUGGAGCUCAACUCCAGAACUGCCUUUGAUACUGAUAGUCUUGAAUAUGGGAGAGGUGAGUGGAACUGCGAGUGUAGAGGUGAAAUUCGUAGAUAUUCGCAAGAACACCAGUGGCGAAGGCGGCUCACUGGCCCAUUACUGACGCUGAGGAGCGAAAGCGUGGGGAGCGAACAGG